AGGAGGAACAACCACAGUGGCUGCGGCCAGCUUUGGAGCCCUGGUUUCAGCUCCUGCGGUAACUACAGAGCUCUCCGUCUGCAGGGCCUGGAUGCUUCGGGGGCGG
rnacentral:pre_miRNA from 1 species